CCGAUCUUUCCCUCAGAUCUUGCCACUCGGCAAUUAAACACAGCCAGGAUUCCACGCCGCCUGAGAGAGAGAGAGGGAGAGAGAGACAGGAGGAGGAGGUGGGGUUUCGGACGUUGCUGAAGCAGACAGGAUCUAACAUGAGCCAGAGACCGAGAGAGGUGGGGAGGGGAACGAGAGAGAGACGCUCGGCCCCAGAAAAGGGGAUUUUCGGCAUAACUCGAUUCCCACAAGCCCACGCAGCAGCGGAAAGCAAACCAAGACUCUUGGGAAAAAGACCUCAGAAAUCUAUGGAAGCUUGUUUCCGAAUAAAAAGAUAAAAGAUAAAAAGGAGAAACAUCCGAAGCAAAGUUGAGACAGUGAUAUGUGAACUGAACAUCUGCUGAGUUAUGAAAGAGCAGCAUCUGAUCAGAGAAAUUAAAUUUUCCUCUGCUCAUCUGAACGCAGGUAUCAGUUCUCCUCAGAAAUGAGCGGAUUCCUUUUUGCUGACGUUGGUUUGGAGACAAUAAACUGUGAAAGCCACCAAGAUGAAUCCAAGCAGUUUUUGAGCUGCCGUCUCAACCGCGUCAGCAUUUCUUCAGAUUCCUGGAUUGUGUCAUAUUCAUUGUCUAAACUUGAAGCAGCUUAGUUGACGUGGAAAAUCAAUCAGAAUCACUGCAAGCCCCAGUCAGCGUGUGCACAGGAAUUUAAUGUUCAUUUGAAACCAUUUUUUUUAAAUAGGAUUCCAGCAUAACUCUAAUUAAUCAUUUAGAAAAUAAAAUCCACUGUAGGACAUCAGAAUGUAUUUUGAAAACAGUCUAUAGCUUCACAUGUGAUUUAUUUAAACUGUCCAGUAUCAGGACAUAUUUCCAAUACAAUACAAGCAGAGAUCUGGUUAAGGUACAACAUGUAAUAGACUCCAAGAAUAAAAAAAAUCCUCUAGGCAUUCGAGUUCACCCAGUAGGGUCUCAUUUGAUCCCAUUACGAUCAUUUUAAAUGGUGUGCAAGGUUGAAUUCUGAUAGGAAUCUGUGCACAUUGCUUUAAGACCGCUGUAGGGAAUUCAGGAUGGUUGUAGAAACACAUAUCAGACCUGACAGAUUUACUUUUGUGUGUGUGUGUGUGUGUGUGUGUGUGUGUGUGGGUACACUAAAAAAUGCUGGGUUAAAAAAAAAACCCAAGCUGGACAAACCUGGCGAAUGGAUUGUUUUAUCCCAGCGGAUGGGUUAAAUGUUUGCCCAACCUGCUGGGCAGUUUUAUUUAACUCAACUAUUGUUUAAAAAUGACUAUAUGGCUGGCUUAAAAUGAACCCAAAAUAUGUUGGAAAAUAAAAAUUAGACACAUAAUUACUAGAGGCAACAAUAAUAAUCAAAAGGUGAACAUUUAUUAAUAAGCAAUGUAAUAAAUGUUUAUUGUUUAAUUAUUAUUUAUUAGACAUAUUAAUAAAUGUUAAUUUCCAACAUACUUUGGGUUCAUUUUAAGCAAGCAAUACAGUCAUUUUUAAACAAUA